rfam:Sorghum bicolor cultivar BTx623 chromosome 5, whole genome shotgun sequence.
GUUGUCGGAUUCACUUCAAUCCAUGUGUGUUGGUGUGGGUUGAGGGUGGAAUUUAUUCCAAAUUCUACUCCAAUCCACCUCAACACAUGUGGAUUGAUGUGAAUCCGACU